AGCCAGGUACAGCCAACUUCUGAAUGUGAACCAUGUCAGGUCGGGAACGAAGCAGCAUUAAGCAAGCUCAGAUGUGUGAGCUGUUGCCUGGCAUUU
rnacentral:SRP_RNA from 1 species